CUUCCCUUUUCCCAUUGGCCAGAGCUAGGUCACAUGACAAACCCUGGGUCCCUCACUGGGAGGGGCCAAACUGCGGUAGCCCAAUGGCGCUGCAAAGGGCUCACUUUUCUCGAGAAGUGGGGACAAGGGCCAUUUACACGAAGCCAGCGUCCUGGUCGCACAGAAGAAAGAGGGCAAAGGGCACGGUGUCAGCCCGAGUCACAAAGACGCCUUGCACCUCUGGGUAGACGCAGGAUCCUUUCUAGAACUCAAAUCUGAGCGCUCUUUGUUGACUUGAAUCCACUCCGGGAACGCAGGGUGUGUUUGUGAGUGACUUCCUACAUUUAGGAUUGAUUGUUUGACCUUCCCUUCCUCCUUUAAGUUUUGCUUGGUUGGUUUGGGGCAUUGCUAUGAAUGAUGUUCCCCGAUGGAAGUCCUUCCCUGAGGCCCCACCUGUGCCUCCAGGUAGGAGAAGGUCGAGGAGUAGGCUGGCGGCAGGAGAAUUUCCCAGGGCACCGUCACUGUCCAGCCAGCUCACAGCUGAACCCAAACAGAGGGAGCGCUCCCCAGGACGGUUAGACUGAAGUCCUGCCCAGCCUCGGAGAGAAGGGGCGAACGCCUGAACUGUUUUGCAGAAAUGCAUCCUGCAAUGCGGCUACUGUUCUACAGAGCCGGGGGGAGAGGAAGCAGAGCUUCAAGUAUCCAAAGGGAACAAUUUUGAAGGAGGAGUGGGGCUCCUUCCUGACCAUCAAGACUCAAGGAGAAUCAAAAGACUCAAUCAGAAGACUCAGCUUCUUCAUCUGGAAAAUGCAAAUGUUAUCGCACGCACAGCUGACUCAGCACCUAUCCCGAUUCCUUUCCAGGCUUCCUGCCUGUACUGUGGCAUCUGGAAAGCUGGAAACCCAGUUCCCUGGACUCCUCUGCAUCGGGGACCCACGAAUCCAUUGUGUUCACUCGGGACUCAGAGGUGGACAUGCGCUGUGGAAGAAGGUGGCCGCAGGCUGGGAGAGUGGCCUUUUUGAAAAGCACAGAGACAAUGUAUCUGGUCUUGGGUCUUCCGGGGGAAAUACAGGAUUUUUGCACAUUCAGUCUCAAACCCCAUGGGUGGCAAUUUGCAGCUGUGAGCAACAGAGGGCUUUCUGUAAACACAGUGGGCUGGAGCAUUUGGGGGUUCUGUUGACCCGAGGGUUGUCCAGUACUCUCCUGGGUCUGAGUAGCAUUCAAGCUUGGUUCUUUGGUCAUGUCCAAAAGUCCGUAAGGAACCCAAUAAAUAAACUUGAAGAGAUGCC